rnacentral:misc_RNA from 1 species
GAAGCUUUCUAAGUAUUGCCAGGGUUGAUCAACCGCCAAACAUUUUUGACACUUAUUGCUUUCAUAGCCAAAUGAAAGAAAAAAACUCCCUUGACAAUAGACUCAAUUAUUAUUACCAGUAAAUUCAACUGUAGCGAAAAGGCCUAGAAUUUCAGAUUCCAUUAAUGAAGAAUUGGUGCUUAUGACAGUGAUCAAGUUUUAGAGACUAAAAUUUCAUAUACUGAACUAAGA